rnacentral:lncRNA from 1 species
AGAAAAUCCACCAGAAACCAUCUAAGUAAAUCCCCAUUCUGCAGCAGAGUUACAUCAUCUUUUUCUAGUCAACAAAACCAGUCUUCCCUAUGUUGCUCCAUCGAAAGCAGCCUCCUAGAAGCUUGUUCCCUUCUAUAAGAAAAGUUUAUGGAAGGAGAGACAAUGUUCAGGACCAGCUUCCAGACCACUCAGGAAUUUACUUAUUAGAAACCACAAUGAUGUUGCUGAACACUGCUCAUGGCUGUGCCAACACAUUAACGUGGAGACUACAGAAGGAAUAUUAUAAAAGUGUCAUUUAGUGAUAUUGGAGCAUCUGAGGAAUGAACCAGGAAAGAUCAGACACUGAGUUUUAGAGUCUGUUCUGCAUACAGAAAGCAUCUAGAGGUAAAACACUAACCCAAUAGUGCUGUGGUAAUUGUAGCAUUUGCUGUAUCAAAUUAAAAAAUGUGACUGGUUUUCCUGAAAAAGAAAAAUGAUACUCCAUCUCCUCUCUGAAAGAGUCAUUUUUUAAUGCUGUUUUUGAAUGUGGAGCAAGAGAUCCUAAAAAUAAUUCAUCAGCUUUAUUUAAAUUAUGCAGUGUAAUACAUAAAACAUGAAGAUUACAACAUCAAGCAAUAUAGCUGGAACAAAUUAAAACUACUUGUGCGUAUGCAUUUUAAUUCCUUCUUUAAUUACUGGUCCCUAACCUCUUUCAGUGGAUGCAGAAUGAAUAUGUGGAAUUAAGCACAGAUACCUAAUAGUGCCUGCUCUCUGCUCAUUGCCAACUCAUUGCUUCUCUCUGCUUACAUUAAUUUCUUUUAAGAGCACUCCUAUGAGCUGCAUGGUUGCUUUUACUUCAUAAGCACUAAGAUUAAAGAAAAAAUAUUAAUCGAUGUCAAAUAGGAUUUGAUUUCUUGACUCUGUAUGUUAUGAAAUAUGUAUAUGAAAUAUGGUAUAUUGCCUGCUGACUUAAUUUUCACUAGUAGGCUACCCUAAAUGAAACCCCAGCAUCUCAAGAUUGGGGUUGUGAAAACACGUCUCAACCUCUACACAAAAAAUCAGAUUAAAGCUAUGUGUUGCAUCACACAGAGAUUUUUGAGAAAGAAAACUUGGUAUCUUACAAUUUCUUUAGAAAUCUGUAAAGAACAGUCAGCAACUUCAGUCAUGAUCCUGUUCCCUCCCUUCUAAUUUGCCUAGAAAUUACACAGGGAUUACAUAUAAAAUGCUUCAUUUUAUUACACAGCUCUGCUCUGAAGCAGAAAAAUCUAUUCUGUGCACUACAAAAAAACCACAUGGCCUGGUACGCACGAAGGUUAAGGA